rnacentral:rRNA from 1 species
AUUGAACGCUGGCGGAAUGCUUUACACGUGCAAGUCGAACGGCAGCACGGACUUCGGUCUGGUGGCGAGUGGCGAACGGGUGAGUAAUGUAUCGGAACGUGCCCAGUCGUGGGGGAUAACGUAGUGAAAAUUACGCUAAUACCGCACACGAACUAUGGAUGAAAGCGGGGGAUCGCCAGACCUCGCGCGAUUGGAGCGGCCGAUAUCAGAUUAGGUAGUUGGUGGGGUAAAGGCCCACCAAGCCAACGAUCUGUAGCUGGUCUGAGAGGACGACCAGCCACACUGGAACUGAGACACGGUCCAGACUCCUACGGGAGGCAGCAGUGGGGAAUUUUGGACAAUGGGCGAAAGCCUGAUCCAGCCAUUCCGCGUGCAGGAUGAAGGCCCUCGGGUUGUAAACUGCUUUUGUACAGAACGAAAAGGUUUCUACUAAUACUAGGAGCUCAUGACGGUACUGUAAGAAUAAGCACCGGCUAACUACGUGCCAGCAGCCGCCGCGG